GUCAUUCUUCUCUUUUUCCUUCUUCUAUCUUCUAAACAGAUGUCUUCAAAAUAUAGCCGCAACCACCACCAUCAAAUCUUCUUCUAGUAGAUUCAAGAUACUUCUCACACAGUAGAAGGAAAUUCCUUUCUGUUUUCUCUUCUGUUUUUUCUGAUUUUUUAUGUAUUUUGUACGGCUAUAUCACUGGUGCGACGGGACAACAUUUCCAUGGAGAAAUUCGACAAAACUAUGGAUCUAACAAGAUGUAAUCAAGAAUGCAAAGGGAGAACGAUAAGAACACUCAAAUUGGUAAUGAAGACAACUAAUCCUUCAAAGUGAUGAUCGACUUCAACUCAAAGAAUAGAUUCCAGAUCUAGAGCAAUAAUUAUGACGAUUGGAAAUUAAAUUUUGUUGUAUUGUUGAGAGAAACCAGUUUAGUUCUGAAAUGUAUGACAAUUUGGUUUAACAACAUGGCGAAUUUUUGUCAAGGAUUUUUUAUUUAAAUUGUAUUUUUUUUUGUUUGAAGGCUAGUGUAAUUUAUGUUAUUCUGGAAUGUAUGUGAUCAUUUUUAA